CAAAAUUAAAAAUAAUGGUCGGUGUAUGCAAGGAAAGCAGGAAGGUCCAAUCCUUGGCUGACGUUGGGCCGGCUCUGACUGAGGUGAGAGUGAGAUGGGAUAUUACACAAGACAGGGAACCUUUGGUUGGACGUUGCGUGCCUAUGAACAGCAUCAGAAACUGUAUAGUCCGUCAGACCAGAGACGCAGGCCUCAAUCUCUGUGGUGCUUAGUUGUGACUGCAAGAAGAGAUGCAAUCUACUGUCGGAAAGGAGGAUGUUGCUCUGCAAUACUCUGCAAAACAAAAAGGAUCAUGUCAAGCACUUUCUUUAAAAAUGUAUACAUUGGACAAUGAAUAGGCUAUUAUGUGAUUAAAUACGGAAUAUGAUGGGGGAAGAAUAAAGCAAGAGCAGCUGAUAUAUUUCAGUGAA